rnacentral:lncRNA from 1 species
AACGUUAGGCUCAACGUGGGGGUUGGAAUGUUCAGCUUGCUGGCCGGUGGUGUUAACAGGAAACUCCGAUGUUCGUCGUCCACUCCUUAAUAACAUAUACUAAAGGGUCUAAUCUACCUGCAAAGACAAAAACAAUAAAACAAAAUAAGUUCUGAAAAUCAAAUAGAUUUGACUACGUCGCUUCCCCGGUAACGGCGCCAAAAUUUGGUAGUUGUCGUUACGACCACCAAAUUUAAUCCUCUACUCAACCAAUAUUAACUGGUAAUAUAGAGUAAGUACAGGAUCG